rnacentral:lncRNA from 1 species
GCGGUGGUACCGCCCGUGCCCAGGAAACCCGGGAUGAGAUGUUUUUAGGCUCCAAGUUUGAAUCAACUUGAAGCCUAUAAAUACCCCUCUCAUCCCUGGUUAAAAUACACAAGUAUUGAGAGUAAAAAAAGGAAAGAAACGCUGCUGCAAUCUUGUGUGAGCUCCUCUCAAAGUUCUAAGUGUUAGAAUAGUUUGAGAGAGGAGUAAGUGGGGGUGUAAGGGUUAUCUCCUAAACCCG